UCUCUCUCUCUCUCUCUCUCUCUCUCUCUCUCUCUCUCUCUCUCUCUCUAAGAUUAUGAAAACCUCUCCAAGUCUUGAAAAAAAGAAGGUGCUUGGAGGCCUCUUAACCUUAUUACGAUCCUUCAUGGCCUUCUAGUUGCUUGUGGUCCUCUCCCUGACUCUUUUGGUUGCCAUUCCUUUUUCUCUAUUGUUCCGUCCUUGUCUCCGUCUUCAUCCCCAUCUUCGUCUCCAUCCCCAUCUUCGUCUUCAUCCCCAUCUUCGUCUUCGGUCUUCCACUCUUCAUGGCGAGACUUGCAAAGAAAGCUGGGAGAAUCAGUGAUAAUCGCUCUUACACUCUUUCUCCCAUUCUCUCUUUCUCUAUCUUUCUCGCCUUACGGCGGCCCUUCUGUUGAGGAUUGCCGUGAAGACGGGCAGGAGGACAGACAAGAAGAAGUUGCACCCCAGGCUGUGAGCAAUGAGAGCAUAGUUUAGGAAGCUUAGGAGAUCAUCAAUGACAGCUUUCUUGACUCUGGUCGCCAUGGGUGGUCCCCUGAAACAUGGCAGGCAAUGCUCACCUCACUUCUUUGAUGCCUUGACCAUAUCUUGAACAUUGGCUCGAGGCAUUUUCUCUAGCCCUUUUACCCUGAAAAAGCAGGGGCUCUUUUUCCUCAUUUUGAAUAUGCAGCUCUGACUGGGGUGAUCAUUGAAUUGAUUAUUUAGGUUUUCUGGGAAUUUUGUCUAAUGUAUAACAUUUUGAUCUUCAAGAACAGUGUAAUCCCUUUUGUUUUGUUAUCUUGUUUCUCGAAUUAUUGAAUUUGCUUUUUUUCUUA